rnacentral:tRNA from 1 species
GCUGCGGUGCGGCGCACGGCGGCCGGCAACCAGCUCCUGGUCGGCUACGUGGUGGUCCGGGACGCGGCCGGGUUCGACCCGGCAGCGGCG